rnacentral:rRNA from 1 species
GGAGACAAGAAGGCAUCUUCUUCGUUUUUAAAAGACCUAGCAAUAGGUAUGCUUAGGGAGGAGCUUGCGUCACAUUAGUUAGUUGGUGGGGUAAAGGCCUACCAAGACUAUGAUGUGUAGCCGGGCUGAGAGGUUGAACGGCCACAUUGGGACUGAGACACGGCCCAAACUCCUACGGGAGGCAGCAGUAGGGAAUUUUCGGCAAUGGAGGAAACUCUGACCGAGCAACGCCGCGUGAACGAUGAAGUAUUUCGGUACGUAAAGUUCUUUUAUUAGGGAAGAAUAAAUGAUGGAAAAAUCAUUCUGACGGUACCUAAUGAAUAAGCCCCGGCUAACUAUGUGCCAGCAGCCGCGGUAAUACAUAGGGGGCAAGCGUUAUCCGGAAUUAUUGGGCGUAAAGGGUGCGUAGGCGGUUAAAUAAGUUUAUGGUCUAAGUGCAAUGCUCAACAUUGUGAUGCUAUAAAAACUGUUUAGCUAGAGUAAGAUAGAGGCAAGUGGAAUUCCAUGUGUAGUGGUAAAAUGCGUAAAUAUAUGGAGGAACACCAGUAGCGAAGGCGGCUUGCUGGGUCUUUACUGACGCUGAGGCACGAAAGCGUGGGGAGCAAACAGGAUUAGAUACCCUGGUAGUCCACGCCGUAAACGAUGAGUACUAAACGUUGGKUAAAACCAGUGUUGAAGUUAACACAUUAAGUACUCCGCCUGAGUAGUACGUACGCAAGUAUGAAACUUAAAGGAAUUGACGGGACUCCGCACAAGCGGUGGAUCAUGUUGUUUAAUUCGAAGGUACCCGAAAAACCUCACCAGGUCUUGACAUGCUUCUGCAAAGCUGUAGAAACACAGUGGAGGUUAUCAGUUGCACAGGUGGUGCAUGGUUGUCGUCAGCUCGUGUCGUGAGAUGUUGGGUUAAGUCCCGCAACGAGCGCAACCCUUAUUGUUAGUUACCAGCACGUAAUGGUGGGGACUUUAGCAAGACUGCCAGUGAUAAAUUGGAGGAAGGUGGGGACGACGUCAAAUCAUCAUGCCCCUUAUGACCUGGGCUACAAACGUGAUACAAUGGCUGUUACAAAGGGUAGCUGAAGCGC